ensembl:lncRNA novel transcript, sense intronic to ERG
AAAAAAAUUGGGGUUUCUAAAUUCACUGUUGAGUGCUGUGGAUUACUUUUGGAAAGGCUUUUCGGAGCGCUUCUGAAUUUUCAGAUUCUCUAACUAUCCCUAACGGUGCCUGGAUGUGUGUCUGAGAAAAGGCAGCAGACUCGGAGAGGUUGAAGGGUCGGGUCAAAGCAAAAGAUGCGUUUGUGAAUGUCAGACAUUUGGAGGCUCUUCAGUGGCUCCUUAGCAUCAGGGAUGCCAGGCAGUCCCAGUGGAAGCGAAGAGAUACUCGGCAAGUGGCUGCUGGUAAUGGGACGCAAAUGUUGACUUGAUUUGUGGGACAUCCACGCUGAGAACUGAGUGCUCACGUAACUCAAAUGGGGGUAAUUUGGUUUGUUCCACUAUAUGUUUAUCUUCAAUAAAAUACCUACUGUCUGUGCA